AGAACGAACGCCGGCGGCAUGCCUAACACAUGCAAGUCGAACGAGACCUUCGGGUUUAGUGGCGCACGGGUGCGUAACGCGUGGGAAUCUGCCCUUGGGUUCGGAAUAACAGUUGGAAACGACUGCUAAUACCGGAUGAUGACGUAAGUCCAAAGAUUUAUCGCCCAGGGAUGAGCCCGCGUAGGAUUAGCUAGUUGGUGAGGUAAAGGCUCACCAAGGCGACGAUCCUUAGCUGGUCUGAGAGGAUGAUCAGCCACACUGGGACUGAGACACGGCCCAGACUCCUACGGGAGGCAGCAGUGGGGAAUUUGGACAAUGGGGAAACCCUGAUCCAGCCAUCCCGCGUGUGCGAUGAAGGCCUUC
rnacentral:rRNA from 1 species